rnacentral:rRNA from 1 species
GUGCUUAACCAUGCAAGUCGAGCGGUAAGGCCCUUCGGGGUACACGAGCGGCGAACGGGUGAGUAACACGUGAGCAACCUGCCCCUGACUCUGGGAUAAGCGGUGGAAACGCCGUCUAAUACCGGAUACGACCCGCCACCUCAUGGUGGAGGGUGGAAAGUUUUUCGGUCAGGGAUGGGCUCGCGGCCUAUCAGCUUGUUGGUGGGGUAACGGCCUACCAAGGCGAUUACGGGUAGCCGGCCUGAGAGGGCGACCGGCCACACUGGGACUGAGACACGGCCCAGACUCCUGCGGGAGGCAGCAGUGGGGAAUAUUGCGCAAUGGGCGAAAGCCUGACGCAGCGACGCCGCGUGGGGGAUGACGGCCUUCGGGUUGUAAACCUCUUUUACCACCAACGCAGGCUCGAAGUUUUCUUCGGGUUGACGGUAGGUGGGGAAUAAGGACCGGCUAACUACGUGCCAGCAGCCGCGGUAAUACGUAGGGUCCGAGCGUUGUCCGGAAUUAUUGGGCGUAAAGAGCUCGUAGGCGGCGUGUCGCGUCUGCUGUGAAAGACCGGGGCUUAACUCCGGUUCUGCAGUGGAUACGGGCAUGCUAGAGGUAGGUAGGGGAGACUGGAAUUCCUGGUGUAGCGGUGAAAUGCGCAGAUAUCAGGAGGAACACCGGUGGCGAAGGCGGGUCUCUGGGCCUUACCUGACGCUGAGGAGCGAAAGCAUGGGGAGCGAACAGGAUUAGAUACCCUGGUAGUCCAUGCCGUAAACGUUGGGCGCUAGGUGUGGGGACUUUCCACGGUUUCCGCG